rnacentral:rRNA from 1 species
UACGUAGGGGGCUAGCGUUGUCCGGAAUUAUUGGGCGUAAAGAGCUUGUAGGCGGUUUGUCGCGUCUGCCGUGAAAAUCCGGGGCUCAACCCCGGACUUGCGGUGGGUACGGGCAGACUAGAGUGUGGUAGGGGAGACUGGAAUUCCUGGUGUAGCGGUGAAAUGCGCAGAUAUCAGGAGGAACACCGAUGGCGAAGGCAGGUCUCUGGGCCACUACUGACGCUGAGAAGCGAAAGCGUGGGGAGCGAACAGG